UACGGAGGGUGCAAGCGUUAUCCGGAUUCACUGGGUUUAAAGGGUGCGUAGGUGGCGGGGUAAGUCAGGUGUGAAAUCUCGAGGCGUCAACCUCCGAAACUGCACUUGAUACUGCCUUGCUCGAGUACUGGAGAGGAGAUUGGAAUUUACGGUGUAGCAGUGAAAUGCGUAGAUAUCGUAAGGAAGACCAGUGGCGAAGGCGAAUCUCUGGACAGUUACUGACACUGAGGCACGAAGGCCAGGGGAGCAAACGGG
rnacentral:rRNA from 1 species